GAACGCUGGCGGCGUGCCUACUACAUGCAAGUCGAGCGAACAGAUGAGGAGCUUGCUCCUCUGACGUUAGCGGCGGACGGGUGAGUAACACGUGGAUAACCUACCUAUAAGACUGGGAUAACUUCGGGAAACCGGAGCUAAUACCGGAUAAUAUAUUGAACCGCAUGGUUCAAUAGUGAAAGACGGUUUUGCUGUCACUUAUAGAUGGAUCCGCGCCGCAUUAGCUAGUUGGUAAGGUAACGGCUUACCAAGGCAACGAUGCGUAGCCGACCUGAGAGGGUGAUCGGCCACACUGGAACUGAGACACGGUCCAGACUCCUACGGGAGGCAGCAGUAGGGAAUCUUCCGCAAUGGGCGAAAGCCUGACGGAGCAACGCCGCGUGAGUGAUGAAGGUCUUCGGAUCGUAAAACUCUGUUAUUGGGGAAGAACAAAUGUGUAAGUAACUAUGCACGUCUUGACGGUACCUAAUCAGAAAGCCACGGCUAACUACGUG
rnacentral:rRNA from 1 species